rnacentral:lncRNA from 1 species
CUUGUUUUCUCCUGGUGUAUAUGUGGUUACUGCUUUAACUUUUACGUGUUUUUAUAUAUUAUACAUAAUCACCAAAUUUAACAAGCUUUUUUCUCCAUACUUCAUGGAGCCAUUCUUUGUGUUUCAGGUUUGUUAUUAUUCAAAGUUGUUGAUGCCCUCAAUCAACCAACCGAACAUACACACACACCAAAAAUUUUUGAG